ACUUACAAUAGUCUAUGGCCACAUGCCUGAUCUCAUCUGAUCUCAGAAGCUAAGCAGGGUCGGGCCUGGUUAGUACUUGGAUGGGAGACCACUUGGGAAUACUGGGUGCUGUAGGUU
rnacentral:rRNA from 1 species